rnacentral:rRNA from 1 species
AGAAUCAACGCUGGCGGCGUGCCUAACACAUGCAAGUCGCACGAGAAAGUGGAGCAAUCCAUGAGUAAAGUGGCGCACGGGUGAGUAACACGUGAAUAAUCUACCUCCGAGUGGGGAAUAACUGAGAGAAAUCUUAGCUAAUACCGCAUAAUACCCACGGGUCAAAGCAGCAAUGCGCUUGGAGAGGAGUUCGCGGCCGAUUAGUUAGUUGGCGGGGUAAUGGCCCACCAAGACGAUGAUCGGUA